UGAUACUUUAAUUUAGGUUUACGGAAAACAAAGAAAAGCUAGAAACUUACGCAGCACCUCAAGUUACAGGAUUCAGAGACAGUAUUUUAAUCCCUUCCUUAACUGGAAAAGCCAUUUGAAACAACCACCUGAAAACAAUAGGGAUUGUAGGAAACAGCAUAGCCAAAUGACUGCCUCUAACACUGAGCUAUGAAACAUUUACAGCCCAUUGCCUAUAUAAACAGAAAGCAAAGGGAGCUGUUGACCAAUCUGAUAAGAUUUCCCUAGAUUUCUGUAAAAGAUUUAUAUUAAUACUCACAUGCUGUGGAGAACUGAUAUUGCUGAAAUACCUACUCCUCAGCUUGCCUUCCAGAACCAUCCCAAUGAAACUACCAUAUACCCACCGCUGCUGCUGCAGCAGCUACUACAUCAACAAUCCCAAGAUGCUCUGCAAUCAGGUGCCAAUUAGAAAAAUCAUUUCACCUGGUCCUACUGCUGCCACUUCAGAGCCACAGCUGCUGCACUCCUGCUGGGACUACUAUGAAGCAUAUGCAUAAGAUUUCGCUUCUUUCUCUUGGUUAAUAAAGGAAACAAACCCACCAAUACAAAAUUCUUCUUCCAGGUGGCAUUCUUCUUUCCCCAAGCAGUAUACAUUAUGCUUUGGCAGAGAAAAAUUUUACUAGAAUCUGAUGGAAAGAUGAGUGCAUUCACUGAAGCAGCUACAAACUUCAUUCAACUUUUCAUAAGGAUUUAAGAUUUUUAACUUUGCGUUAGAAUUUUUGCUUGCAGGAAAGCCCAAGCUUUUAAGAGACCUUCUCAUCAAGAGGAAAAAGGGAGACACUCCUGGUUACUAGUCUCUUUCGUGAAAGUUGACACACAGCAUAAUCUCUCCACAGACACUUUCAAAAGCAGACUUUAGCCAACAACUGAAGCCAUUUGCACUGACACAUAAUCAUGAAACAUAAUGUUUGAGCCAGCCAUGUUAACUAUUUACUUGUAAAGGGUCAAGCCAAGAAGUUUCCCAGACUCUUGUUCAUUCAGUUUGUGAUCAUGUGACUCUAUGUCUGUACAUGAGACAAGGUGGCACCUCUGCUCCUGAGAUAACCUGCUAGGAACACCUCAUGG
rnacentral:lncRNA from 1 species